UACGGAGGGGGCUAGCGUUGUUCGGAAUUACUGGGCGUAAAGCGCACGUAGGCGGCUUUGUAAGUUAGAGGUGAAAGCCCAGGGCUCAACCCUGGAAUUGCCUUUAAGACUGCAUCGCUUGAACAUCGGAGAGGUAAGUGGAAUUCCGAGUGUAGAGGUGAAAUUCGUAGAUAUUCGGAAGAACACCAGUGGCGAAGGCGACUUACUGGGCGAUUGUUGACGCUGAGGUGCGAAAGCGUGGGGAGCAAACAGG
rnacentral:rRNA from 1 species